rnacentral:tRNA from 1 species
GGCCUCGUAGUUCAGCUGGUAGAAUGUGCACUGCACACAAGCGUAGGCGGCGUCCAUGCGUGGGUUCGAAUCCCAAUCUAGGCUA